UACAGAGGGGGCUAGCGUUGUUCGGAAUUACUGGGCGUAAAGGGUGCGUAGGCGGUUUGCCAAGUUAGAAGUGAAAUCCCGGGGCUUAACCUCGGAAUUGCUUUUAAUACUAGCAAGCUUGAGAUCGGUAGGGGAUAGUGGAAUUCUUAGUGUAGGAGUGAAAUCCGUAGAUAUUAAGAGGAACACCAGUGGCGAAGGCGGCUAUCUGGACCGAUUCUGACGCUGAGGCACGAAAGUGUGGGGAGCAAACAGG
rnacentral:rRNA from 1 species